rnacentral:snoRNA from 1 species
GCGCUGGGGGUCAAGCUGCAGUGCCAGAACACACAUUUGUGCCUAAAUGGGGCAGUCUGCUCUUUGUAAGAGGCCCUUCUAACUGCAAGCAACACCG